GUUGAUAGGCCGGAUAUGGAAGCCAGGUAACUGGUGGAGUUGACCGGUACUAAUAGGCCGAGGGCUUGUCCUCAGUUG
rnacentral:rRNA from 1 species